GGCGCUUGAGUUGGUCGGGGGCAGCGGCAGAUUUGAGGCUUAAGCAACUUCUUCCGGGGAAGAGUGCCAGUGCAGCCACUGUUACAAUUCAAGAUCUUGAUCUAUAUCCAUAGAUUGGAAUAUUGGUGGGCCAGCAAUCCUCAGACGCCUCACUUAGGACAAACGGAGUCUUGCUCUGUCGCCCAGGCUGGAGUGCAGUGGCGCAAUCUCAGCUCACUGCAAGUUCUGCCUCCCAGGUUCAUGCCAUUCUCCUGCCUCAGCCUCCCGAGUAGCUGGGACUACAGGCAUGUGCCACUAUGCCCAGCUAAUUUUUUGUAUUUUUAGUAGAGACGGGGUUUCACCAUGUUGGUCAGGAUGGUCUCAAUCUCCUGACCUUGUGAUCUGCCCGCCUCGGCCUCCCAAAAUGCUGGGAUUACAGGCAUGAGCCACCACGCCCGGCCAAGUUUUUUCAGUGGGAUGAGAAAACUGCAAAGUUACAGAGUAUUUUGUUGCCUUAUUGACUGCUACCAGUUAUAUAAACUGCCUGUGGCAGGUUUGAAUAUAGGUAAUUCUCAAAUUCUGGAUGUGAUGGAAAAUAUUUUUAGAGAAUUCUGUAAACAUCACAUGUGAUUGUGGUCUGUGCACUAUAGGAAUGGACAAUAGGCUUUAGGAAGCAGAAGACCCAGAAGAUUUUCUUGCUAUCUAGAUACUUUCUCAUUCCAAAGUGAUUUACAUCAUAAUGAGUUUAAUUUAACAGAGUCGGUUCAGCACUAUUUCCCUAGUACUUGCAGGUAAAAUUCUAUAAUGGAAAAUAACUGAACCACCUAGUGUGUCAAUAGAGGCAAUAUCAGAAGUUUGUUAAUUCUCAACUGCGAAUGAUCAGAAUUGACUGAUUUUUGUGAAACAAUAUAUUUUAGUUCAGAAGUUACAGUAAUUGAGAAAGCUGUUUUUGUUUUUGUUUUGUUUUGAGACAGGGUCUUGCUCUGUUGCCCAGGGAGGAGUGCAGUUAGCACUACAACCUCCACCUCCUGGGCUCAAGUGCUCCUCUCAUCUCUGCCUCCAGAGUAACUGGGACUACAGGAGCAUGCUACCAUGCCUGGCUAAUUUUUGUAUUUUUUGUAGAAAUGGGGUUUUGCUGUAUUGCCCAGGCUUGUCUCAAACUCAUGAACUCAAGCCAUCUGCUCAUCUCGGCCUCCCAAAGGGCUGGGAUGACAGGAGUGAGUUUGUUUUUUUUGUUUUUUUUUUGCAUUUAAAAACAAGAUGAGGCCUGGCAUGGUGGCUCACUCCUGUCAUCCCAGCACCUUGGGAGGCCCAGGUGGGUGGAUUACUUGAGGCCGGGAGUUGGAGGCCAGCCUGGCCAAAAUAGUGAAACCCCGUCUCUACUAAAAAUACAAAAAAUUAGCUGGACGUGGUGGUGCACGCCUGUAACCCCAGCUACUCUGGAGGCUAAAGUGGGAGAAUCAAACAACCCCAUCAAAAAGUGGGCGAAGGAUAUGAACAGACACUUCUCAAAAGAAGACAUUAAUGCAGCCAACAGACACAUGAAAAAAUGCUCAUCAUCACUGGCCAUCAGAGAAAUGCAAAUCAAAACCACAGUGAGAUACCAUCUCACACCAGUUAGAAUGGUGAUCAUUAAAAAGUCAGGAAACAACAGGUGCUGGAGAGGAUGUGGAGAAAUAGGAACACUUUUACACUGUUGGUGGGAGUGUAAACUAGUCAACCAUCGUGGAAGACAGUGUGGCAAUUCCUCAAGGAUCUAGAACUAGAAAUACCAUUUGACCCAGCCAUUGCAUUACUGGGUAUAUACCCAAAAGAUCAUAAAUCAUGCUACUAUAAAGACACAUGUACAUGUAUGUUUAUUGCGGCACUAUUCACAAUAGCAAAGACUUGGAACCAACCCAAAUGUCCAUCAAUGAUAGACUGGAUUAAGAAAAUGUGGCACAUAGACACCAUGGAAUACUAUGCAGCCAUAAAAAAGGAUGAGUUCAUGUCCUUUGUAGGGACAUGGAUGAAGCUGGAAACCAUCAUUCUCAGCAAACUAUCACAAGGACAGAAAACCAAACACCGCAUGUUCUCACUCAUAGGUGGGAAUUGAACAAUGAGAACACUUGGACACAGGAAGGGGAACAUCACACACCGGGGCCUGUCAUGGGGUGGGG
rnacentral:lncRNA from 10 species